CCUAUAUUCUAUAUCUUGAUCUAGAGUAAAGCGUUGGACGAGCAGUCCUGUUCUUCAUAAGCUCUUGAUCAGCUUACCGGUUUACCUUAUUUUUUAGUCUACUAAAUGUUCCUUAUUUGAAAGUUUACAAAAACACUUGUCUAAUGGAAGCAAUACUAGAUCUAGUGUGUUUAUAAUUUAUCAAACCACCAGAUACAAUAAAAACUAACAGUUAAUUACUUGCACUGAGCUUGUUAGAAGAGUGGACUUGUGCUAGAUUAUGGUCUCAAAGAACCCCACCCCUCAUUGUUCACCAUUGAGCU